rnacentral:rRNA from 1 species
AUACGGAGGGUGCAAGCGUUGUUCGGAAUCACUGGGCGUAAAGGGCGCGCAGGCGGUUUUACAAGUCAGAUGUGAAAGCCCACGGCUCAACCGUGGAAGUGCAUUUGAAACUGUAAGACUUGAGUAUCAGAGGGGAAGGUGGAAUUCCCGGUGUAGAGGUGAAAUUCGUAGAUAUCGGGAGGAAUACCGGUGGCGAAGGCGACUUUCUGGCUGAAUACUGACGCUGAGGCGCGAAAGCGUGGGGAGCAAACAGGAUUAGAAACCCUGGUAGUCC